UGAACAGUGCUUUACCACUGAGCCACACCAUCAGCCCUUUUAUUUUGCACUUAGAGACAAAACCUUGCAAUCCUCCUGCCUCAGCCUCCAGAGCUGCUGGGAUUUCAGGCGUGUGCCACCGCACCUGGAAGAUCCUGCUUCCUCAAUUGUAGGCCAGAGGUGUCUUCAGGAGUGGGGUCAGCAGGCGAGGGGCGGUCAGAGGACACCAUCAGGGUGGUCUCAGGGCCAAGCCUGUGUGUGGCCUCACCACUGACGACAGCAGGCAGACUGCACAGGCUCGGGAAGGAGUGAGAUGUCAUGUGCUGUGCUCUCCGAGGGUCUGGGAGCCUGCUCCCUCCCAUCCAGCUCCACCCUGGCCUUGUAACCACGGCAUUAACUUGGGCGAGCCCCGGCAGCACCCUGGACUGUGUCCUCCUUCGGGGCUUAACCAGCACAGGGCCUGGACCUUUGGGAAGACAGGGCUGGGGGAAGGGAUUUGGCUGAGAGGGCUGGGGUGGUGGCAGCCCCCACCAGCUGCAAGCACGAGGCACUGGUGGCAGAUGGUCCACAGCAGUCCCCAUCCUCCCCUCCUGGCUCUACUGGCUCCGUGGAAACAGCCUGCUUUAUUCCCAGGAAGCCAUUGUCUUAGUGACUGGCACAGACCCACAGGCACCAGGGCCCACGGGUGGCGGUUUCUGUGGUAAUUGACAGCGGGGAGGAGGGGCCUGGAGCUGUGCCCGGGGUGGAAAUCCAGGAGACUGGGACGCGAGGUAAGCCUGCCAGUGCAGGGUGCCUGGCCCUGGGCCCCGCCGCCAGGUGGGAUGGGAAGAGUCUAGAACCCUGUGUGCAGGGUGCUGCGGGUUCAGGAUGCCCUGGUCAGAGGCCCUCCAGUCCAGGAGCAGAGAGACAAACGUGUAAUAGGCAAGGGCCGCAAGGGCCAUGAGACCAGGUGCCACACCAGAGCCAGGAGGGGCAUCAAGGGUGAGCCAGCUGGAGUGACAGGUGCCAGGAGAAGGCCAGGGUCCCCCAAGGCCACAGAAUGAUGGGAAGUAGACUUUACACAGUCAGGCCUCCAGGAAGUAUGGCCCCUCCAUGACCACACCCCUCAGGACUUCCCCUCUCCUCACCAAAAGUCACCAAGGCCAGCCUUUUGGCCGUCCGGGAAGAGCUUCUGGAUCACAGGGAAUCAGCUCACCAGCCUCAGGGAUAAAGACAAGGCAGGAUCUCAGGAGCAGGGCUGUGGUCCACUCUGGCCCUCAGGGCCCUGCUCUAGGGCAGCUCAACCUAUGCAUCUGACCCGGUGUCUCUCCUCCAGGCCUCUGAGGCCAGCCUUCACCUACCCCAGCUACUGGUCUCUGUCACUUGACCCCUGACCCUCAAUGAUUCUGCUUCAAAAUGGGGACAAUGUUCUUGCUUUGGAGGGCUGUUGAGUGGGUGGCACAAAGUCACAGGCAGGAAACACUCUGUAAGGGACGACUCAGGCACUUACAGAUGGGGUAAAGAGGUAUGGCACCAUGGAGAGAAGGGCCACCUGACAGGCCUGACACCUCCAUCCUGCCUUGCCACUCCUCUGCUCUUCAAGGGGUCCUGUUCUGCUUCUGCCCAGUCUGGGGACACAGCCCCCUGGGGGACAGCCACAGCAGCACUGGGAAGCCAGCAGUGCACAGCGACUCCAAGGAGGCAAGGAGGGUGUUGGGCAAAGGCCAGAGAGGACAAGCCUGGGGGCCAUGUGCAGCACAGGUGAGGGCGAGGACACACCACCAACAAGACGUGACCGUGAGGGUGGCACAAGUACCGGCUGGGUCCUUGCUAAGCACCUGGCCCCAGGGGGGGCCUAGUCCUUUCAGGCUUUAAAUUCACGAUAAUGUCACCCCUGUAAGACUAGAAGCCAGUCAAUUCGAAUGUUUGCUCUGCUUCGGGGACUGAGGGUGGGCUGUCCCCGUCACCCUGGCCUUCCGCUCGCUGUCCUGUGCAACAUAACCCAGCCUUGGCCACAUGUCCUGAAGGCUGGGGUUAUGUGGAGACUUUCAGUGCACCAGUGGUGGACGGGGCCCCUCUGGAGACGGCCCUCUGGUCCCCUGACUGCCACAGCUCCCCUGGGACACGGCUCAGAUGGCCACUACACAACGCUCGGUGCACCUGCUCCGUGUGGGUGAAGCCUCGGCCCAAAGGGGCAGGCAGCCCUCCCCUCCCCAGGCCCUGCUGUCUCAAGCCUUGACUGUGGCCUCAAGUGCGCUGUGCGCGCCUGUUUAGGAAUGGGCACAGCCAUAGGGCAGUCCUGCUCAGUGCCACAGGCCAGGCCCAGGGGGUUCUCGGCUUCUGAUCCUCCCCUGCCACCCAGUGCUUCGCCAAAGUCCUUCCUAGUUGGUGGUGACUCCUGCGCUCUGAUCCCGGGCGCCUGGACGAGGCCCGAGGACUGAGCUCUCGGGAGGAGGGAGACCCUGCGGGGGCUGGCUCUCGCCCUCUCCUCCAGCCCGUUUUCUAAAGCAGCCCCCGCCUCACCCCCGAGCAGCCCGGCUUCCCACCCCAUCGCUUCCUGUUCCGGCUGGAUCCUGCAGCAGAGGCUGGAGAAAGAACACCGGGACUUCAGGCUGGAGCUGGUCCAGAAGGCCAUGCGGGGGACGUAAUUGCCUCAGCCUCGACAGGUGUGCUGUCCUUUCCGCACCCCAGAAAAUAUCACCCAUCCAUCAGGCAGGGCCACGCUCCC
rnacentral:lncRNA from 1 species